rnacentral:rRNA from 21 species
GCAGUAUUACUGACUGUGCAAAGGUAGCAUAAUCAUUCGCCUGUUAAUUGCAGGCUAGUAUCAACGGCUAGACGACAGAGUAACUGUCUCCUUUUAUUAAAUCCGAAAUUAGUAUAAAGGUGAAGAAACCUUUAUAUGUUAGUGGGACGAGAAGACCCUAUAGAGCUUUACCCUGACAGAAAACAAAAUUUUUUUAAGGGUUUGGUUGGGGCAACCAUCUUUAGUUUAAGACAAAGAUUAAUAAUUUGUAAGUUUAAGUAUAAAAGACCCAAAAAAUUUUGAACAAAAGAAAAAGUUACCUUAGGGAUAACAGCGUAAUUUCUUUUGAGAGUACUUAUUGACAAAGAAGCUUGCGACCUCGAUGUUGGAUCAGAAAAACCUGGAUGUGCAGCAGCCUCCUAGGGUUGGUUUGUUCAACCAUUAAAGUUCU